CCUACGGGAGGCUGCAGUGGGGAAUAUUGGACAAUGGGGGGAACCCUGAUCCAGCGACGCCGCGUGAGUGAAGAAGUAUUUCGGUAUGUAAAGCUCUAUCAGCAGGGAAGAAAGAAAUGACGGUACCUGACUAAGAAGCCCCGGCUAACUACGUGCCAGCAGCCGCGGUAAUACGUAGGGGGCAAGCGUUAUCCGGAUUUACUGGGUGUAAAGGGAGCGUAGACGGCGAUGCAAGUCUGAAGUGAAAGGCGGGGGCGCAACCCCUGGACUGCUUUGGAAACUGUAUGGCUUGAGUGCAGGAGAGGUAAGUGGAAUUCCUAGUGUAGCGGUGAAAUGCGUAGAUAUUAGGAGGAACACCAGUGGAGAAGGCGGCUUACUGGACUGUAACUGACGUUGAGGCUCGAAAGCGUGGGGAGCAAACAGGAUUAGAUACCCUAGUAGUC
rnacentral:rRNA from 1 species